ACCUCAGAGCAGGCGAGAUCACCCGCUGAAUUUAA
rnacentral:rRNA from 2 species